UCUCAUUUCUCUCUCAACUUUCUCUCCAAUUUCAUCAAGAACACCUUCAAAAAAAAAAAAAACUUCAGCAAACUUCAUCUUCAUCAAGAAUUUCGGCAAACUUCCUUCUCUUUCGCUACCUCCGCCAUAGCCUCACCGGACCACUGCCCUGCUCACAAGUUUUCUAGUCAGCAAGUUGUCGCGUUUCCGAUGAUUCUGCUCCCUCCGUCACCGCGCGGUAGUUCGCGGAUUUCUCCCUCCGUUUGCUCGCGAUUUUCUGGCGAGCUAACUCCUCUUCUCCGAUCAUUUACUCCGGCCUGCAGCUCCUCCUUCAUCUCCGAAUGA